CCCUUAGAUGUUCUGGGCAGCACGCGCGCUACACUGACAUGUUCAACAAGUUUCUCCUAGUUCGACAGGACUGGGAAAUCUUUGAACGCAUGUCGUGAUAGGGAUAGAUCAUUGCAAUUAUUGAUCUUGAACGAGGAAUUCCUAGUAAACGCGAGUCAUCAGCUCGCAUUGAUUACGUCCCUGCCCUUUGUACACACCGCCCGUCGCACCUACCGAUUGAAUGUUUCGGUGAAGAUUCCGGAUAGGACUGAUUUGAUUUAUUUCAUUUCUGACCUAAAAGCUAUCUAAACCUCAACAUUUAGAGGAAGGUGAAGUCGUAACA
rnacentral:rRNA from 1 species